UACGUAGGGUGCGAGCGUUGUCCGGAAUUAUUGGGCGUAAAGGGCUCGUAGGCGGUUUGUCGCGUCGGGAGUGAAAACACCGGGCUUAACUCGGUGCUUGCUUCCGAUACGGGCAGACUAGAGGUAUGCAGGGGAGAACGGAAUUCCUGGUGUAGCGGUGAAAUGCGCAGAUAUCAGGAGGAACACCGGUGGCGAAGGCGGUUCUCUGGGCAUGUCCUGACGCUGAGGAGCGAAAGUGUGGGGAGCGAACAGG
rnacentral:rRNA from 1 species